CCUACGGGAGGCAGCAGUGAGGAAUAUUGGUCAAUGGGCGUAAGCCUGAACCAGCCAAGUCGCGUGAGGGAUGAAGGUUCUAUGGAUCGUAGACCUCUUUUAUAAGGGAAUAAAGUGUGGGACGUGUCCUAUUUUGUAUGUACCUUAUGAAUAAGGAUCGGAUAACUCCGUGCCAGCAGCCGCGGUAAUACGGAGGAUCCGAGCGUUAUCCGGAUUUAUUGGGUUUAAAGGGUGCGUAGGCUGCCUUUUAAGUCAGCGGUGAAAGUCUGUGGCUCAACCAUAGAAUGGCCGUUGAAACUGGGGGGCUAGAGUAUGUUUGAGGCAGGCGGAAUGCGUGGUGUAGCGGUGAAAUGCGUAGAUAUCAGGCAGAACCCCGGUUGCGAAGGCAGCCUGCCAGGCCAUGACUGACGCUGAUGCACGAAAGCGUGGGGAUCAAACAGGAUUAGAUACCCUGGUAGUC
rnacentral:rRNA from 1 species